rnacentral:rRNA from 1 species
AGAGCGAACGCUGGCGGCAGGCCUAACACAUGCAAGUCGAGCGCCCGUAGCAAUACGGGAGCGGCAGACGGGAUAGUAACACGUGGGAACGCGCCCUUCGGUUCGGAAUAACUCAGGGAAACUUGAGCUAAUACCGGAUACGCCCUUACGGGGAAAGAUUUAUUGCCGAAGGAACGGCCCGCGUCCGAUUAGCUAGUUGGUGAGGUAAUGGCUCACCAAGGCGACGAUCGGUAGCUGGUCUGAGAGGAUGACCAGCAUCACUGGGACUGAGACACGGCCCAGACUCCUACGGGAGGCAGCAGUGGGGAAUAUUGGACAAUGGGCGCAAGCCUGAUCCAGCCAUGCCGCGUGGAUGAUGAAGGCCUUAGGGUUGUAAGUCCUUUUAACGGGAAGAUAAUGACGGUACCCGUAGAAUAAGCCCGGCUAACUUCGCGCCAGCAGCCGC